CCAGCCUCCUUUUCCCCCAGCUCUCCUGUUUCUUCUCCCUUCCAUGCCCCUGGUGUGUCCACACCCACUAUUUUCCACCUCUCUUUCCCCUUUUCCCACAUCUUUUGGAUCCUGCUCUAGUUCCCUGUAAGAUAAAGUCCAUGUCCUGAGCUGGGUUCCUGUGACCUCCCGCAGGGAACAAGGGAGCCUGGCCAUGAGAGCACCACCAUGCCUCAGAGCCCAGGGAACAAGCAAAGCUGCAGGACAAAAAAGGCAGAGAUUAAGGGGGGCGACCUGAUCCCUCAAGGAUGUGGCUGUGUUCCUCCUCACAGAUGGGCCACAAGUCCACAGUCAGUCCCCACAGAGGACAACUAAAAACCUUCUUCAAAGCAGCCGCUGGGAACCAUGCACCUCCUCUUUCCUUGACAGGUUGUGAAAGGCCAGCUCCCACCUCCCCUUGACACCCCUAGGGAUGGAUCCCACUAAGGAGAUCCUACUUGCUUGCGAGAAUGAGCCCUGGUGGGGUUGGCCACAUCCCAGGGCCCUAGCUGGGCCACAGGGCUGGUGGUGUCAUGCACAGACUCAACAUUCCUGGGCAGCCCCUCUUGAUGACCAUCUUGUGAGAUGAGGGUGGGCAUGAGAGCUGGCCCUGCUCCCUCGGGGGGCUG
rnacentral:lncRNA from 10 species